UCGUGACGUACAAACAUAAGAGGCCGCAUGGCUGGAGUCACUAAACGCACAUGUUUCAGAACAGCAUUCUUGAGCACGUUCCCGUGUGAGAAGAUUGCUUGUGUUCCUCUCAUUUUGCCUAAACGGAAAGAAUGUAAUUAAGUAAACAUCAAAGUUGAUUCGAUUUCUUUCAUAUGAUAAAUCAGCCAACUCUUUAGCAAAUGUUUGGUACACACAAUUUGAAGCAACUACCAAAUACAACAGACGCUGACUUGAUAAACUAUUUGAAUUGAGUCUAACUUCAGCCAAAAUAGAUUUUAAAGACACAAAUUUUGUUAACCGAAAGAAGAAAAUUACGUGGUAUCAACUAUCAACAAAGAGCCUCGUUUCAAUAAUCCUCAGUAUGGCUAAGAUCCCUGAGACGAACGAUCGGUACAGAAUAUUUAAACACUAAUCUUUCUAUCCCUGUAACUCUUAGUUAGCAAUAAAAUCAGUAUUCCCUCCAUUCCCAGACGGAAACUAAAAUUUCAUCAUCUUCACUUGUAUUGCAAAUAUCAGAGCACUAGUUUUCAUGUAAAACAGACUUGAGCACACUACUGAUCAGCCCCUGUUUGGUUCAACUAAAAAUUCUGAUUAAAACCUAAGUCAACCAUAACAGCCCCAUCUUUUCAGCUAUACAUUCCAUUAACUUUUAUUAAAAUCUACUAAAAUUCUAAUUUUUAUCUAAAGCCAAUCAGGACUAGUGAAUACAGAUAACAGUAUCCAUAAUCAACAAGUGUUGCGAAUUAAGCAUGAUUGAUAUUUUUGAGAGGAAGAACAAUAGUAGAAAACGAGCAAACCACACCCAGAUUUAUAAAAAGCAAAAUCAAACAAAUUUAUUGAAUGUCUGUCAAAAAUGUAAGUGAACCACUUCUAAUAAUCAAAAUCACAGAACUUGAAUCAUCUAACUAUUUAGUAUCCAAAGCAUUGAAUCGUCACUUCUUGAGCCCGCAUAUAAGAAUCAAAGACUUCCAUAUCAGAAAACUGCAAAUAAAUUUUCAAGAACCCAAAGACCCUUUGUCCCUUCACAACUAAGUCACACACAUCUAUGAACAAAACAAGCUUACUUGGGUUUGUUUUCUUGAAUUUGCUCUUACUUCCUGGAGAGUGAAAAGGUGACAAAAAAUGAGCUUUUGUUUUCAAGGUUAAAAUUAGGCCUGUCACCAACUUUAUCCACUUGCAAUUUAUUUAUCCCAUUUGGCACUUUGAUUUAUGUAGAUAUUGGCUUCUGUCACUUCAAAGGACACCUUGUCAACUAUAUUGCAUUUGUCUGUGGCUGAAUAAUAAUGCAUUUGAAACCUUUUCCUAUUCUUGGAUUUUAAUAUAUCUAUAAUAUAAUAAAUAUCACAUCAAGCGAUAAUUAUUUUUUGAAUGAUUUUAUUUUUAUUCUAAUUCAAUUAUUUUAAUAAUAUAUUACUUUUCGUUUUUCAAAUAUCACAUCAAGCGAG
rnacentral:lncRNA from 1 species